rnacentral:rRNA from 1 species
GAUGAACGCUAGCUACAGGCUUAACACAUGCAAGUCGAGGGGCAGCAUGAACUUAGCUUGCUAAGUUUGAUGGCGACCGGCGCACGGGUGAGUAACACGUAUCCAACCUGCCGAUGACUCGGGGAUAGCCUUUCGAAAGAAAGAUUAAUACCCGAUGGCAUAGUUCUUCCGCAUGGUAGAACUAUUAAAGAAUUUCGGUUAUCGAUGGGGAUGCGUUCCAUUAGUUAGUUGGCGGGGUAACGGCCCACCAAGACGACGAUGGAUAGGGGUUCUGAGAGGAAGGUCCCCCACAUUGGAACUGAGACACGGUCCAA